UAUAGCACAAUUGUCAGAUACAGGAUAUUCAAUUGGCACAGUAGUGGGAGCUGCUGUUGGUAGUGUUCUAUGUAGUGUUUUUGUCCUCGUGUUUAUAUUUUGGUUAUUCCGGAGACACAGAAAAAAUAAAACUUCUAAACCGUCAAGUAAGUAUUAGCAUUUUAAUUUUAGUACUAGUUUGCAUAAAGUGAUGACACAGUAUGGAUACACACAACCAAAUGAAUCUCAGAUCAACACAAAGUCUUUUAUUAGACAAGUUUACAAACUUAAAAUGGCUGGUUGGAAAUAAAUGUGAAUAGAUUUACAGCGAUAAACAAAAGGCGAUCAUCAUCUUGAGAGUAAAUUUUCUAAAUAACAAGAAUAUUAGUUGAAAGAUAUAAACACGAUAAAAAAUAGCUCAUUCUAUUUUGAUCCAGACUAGUUACAUAAAAAAUAACAUGCAAUACAAACCAGCAUAAAAAUAGCAUAUUACUACAUUAUAUCGUCAAAGUAAGAAACAACAACUAAAGUACAAGCAACACCAUUAUUAAUUAUCUUUACCGAAGAAUUCCUGCAGUGAAUGAAAUUAAAACCAAAGUAUCUGCUGGUAUCACUCCAUGCUUUUUAACAUUCAAAUAUCGGGUACUGUAUUUCGAAAAAGACGUCAUAUAUCAUUCAAAAUAAUAAACAGGAUAAACACUACUUGUUCAUAACCGAAAGUGUAAUGCAACAAAAAAACGAAGAAAAAAAAAUAUUGAACGUAUGUUUUGCUUCUAUCAAUAAUUUUGCGUUAUCAAUACAAAAAAGGGAAUUUAUAUAUCAAGGCUUACAAAUACCGAAAAAUUUAAAUAGAUAAUAACAUGAAUAAAGAGAAGACGAACAUUAUAAGUUAUUUUGAUUUAUCUUGAAAAAGUUUCGGCAUAUCGACUAUAUGCAUUGGAUUUUAUUAUCGAUUGUACGAUUUAAAUGAAUUGUAGGUGUUUUUUUCUGUAAAAUUAAUUAAGUUCUCGACAUUAUUUUUACAGGAACAAAACAUGCACGCGAAGAGUCAAAAAUGUAAGUAGAAAGUACAUACAAGCCUAGUAAUUGGUGGUAAUUGAUACAACAUGACCUAAUUAAUUAAACAAAUGAUUGUGUAUCAUAUUAUGAAAUUAGUUUUUUAGUGUUUAAUACCAUUAUUUAUUAAUACAAUGCAUAGUUAUAUGAAAUUUAAUCUGCUGCAUAGAUUUGUCCUAAAGGAAAAAUGCCUUUUCAUUGACUACAACAUAAUGAAUUAAAUGCAUAGUAUGAAACUUUGAGGAGAGAUGGGCUUCAAUUAAUGACAAAAAAAGAUACCAAAUGAUCGGAUGGAUAAACCUUCCUAUUAAACAGGGACUUAAUAUUAAUCAGCAGUGUCAUCUGUUCAGGGUGGCAGCAUGAUAUAUCUUGACAUCAAAUUCAAUUUCCAUCCACCAUGUGUACGUUUACAAAAAUAAUAUUGUCAUCAGUGGUGCUUGAAUCUAAAUGUAGGAACUAUCACAUUGCUAAACGUCAUAAUGCAUUCACCUGAAAAAACAUUACAGAGACACACGACAAAGUGUGCUAAAUUCAUUAAUAAAUUACCUUUGAUUUGAGAUGGUUACCUUUAAAAGCCAUCCUUCAAAUAUUACAAAUCAAUAUCAAAUAGCUAAUCAGUACCAAAGUACUUGUUAUUAGGCACGUUAUACAAUAUCGAACCUUAACUUGGCCAGUAAAGUCGUCUUUCUAGUGAUGGCUGUACACAAUUGUAAUUGAAUAUCAAAUACGCCAAGUUUGACAUUCCAUUUUAUCAUCAACGGUGGUAAAUGCCAAAUAUAAGACAUUUGAAAGUAUUAAGGGUUGAAAAUAAGAGCUUGAGCACUCCGUGUCGACAGAUAACUUGAUGUUUAUCGACAUUUAAUGUUAAUUUUAAGUACUUAUACAACCGAUAGAUACAAACACAAUGAACCAUGACCAAAUAACGUUACAUAGCCAUGACCUUUAGAAGUAUUUUCUUUUUAGUGGAGACCAGUACGAAGAUAUAGGAAUGGACAGCGCAUCCUCUUACCAAGAAUUUGGAGCAAAAGACAGUCCGAAUGUAUAUGACCAGAUUGGUCGAGUACACACUGUAGACAAACACUAUGAAAAUAUGUUACCUUAAAAGUAUUUUAACCUGCUUUGCUUGAUUGAUAUUUAUUGUACCAAAUUUCAUCUUGCACUACGCAUGUACAUUCACAAACCGUCAUAACCUUCAGCUUUUCAGUGCUUUCAUUUUUACCUGUGAAGCAAGAUUUAUAAAGUUCCACAAAUUGUAUACCGACUUUUGUAAAAAAAAACAAAAAACAAAACGUCAGAAGCGAUUUGUCUCUUAUUAGAACUAAUCAAAUAGCCAUACAAAUUCGAAGUUGAUAACUAAACAUUUCGAAAAAAUGGGUUACAAAACUUAUUAAUAUUCAAUCUCAUGAACUUUAAAUUCGUCCUCCACAAUAAUGAUUAGUUGCCAAUUUUUAUACGUCCUUCAAAAUUUUGAAGAAACGUAUUAUGGUAUACAAAUGUUCGGCGUCCGACUGUUCCUCUUUCCGUAUCUUGAGAACAACUAAUCCGAAAUUCAUGAAAUUUAAAUAUUUGUUUCUUAUGCUGGCCAAACGAUCUGUAAACUUUUUGAGUUACGGGAC
rnacentral:lncRNA from 1 species